rnacentral:rRNA from 1 species
AGUCGAGGGGCAGCGCGAGGUAGCAAUACUUUGGCGGCGACCGGCGCACGGGUGCGUAACACGUAUGCAACUUACCUCUUACAAUCGGAUAACACGGUGAAAGUCGUGCUAAUACGGUAUAGUUUCGCAAGCUCGCAUGGGCAUGCGAAUAAAGAUUCAUCGGUAAGAGAUAGACAUGCGGUCCAUUAGAUAGUUGGUGAGGUAACGGCUCACCAAGUCGACGAUGGAUAGGGGGACUGAGAGGUUGACCCCCCACACUGGUACUGAGACACGGACCAGACUCCUACGGGAGGCAGCAGUGAGGAAUAUUGGUCAAUGGGCGAGAGCCUGAACCAGCCAAGUCGCGUGAAGGAAGACGGUUCAUAAGGAUUGUAAACUUCUUUUGCAGAGGAGUAACGGUAGGCACGUGUGCCUAUGUGAACGUACUCUGCGAAUAAGUAUCGGCUAACUCCGUGCCAGCAGCCGCGGUAAUACGGAGGAUACGAGCGUUAUCCGGAAUUAUUGGGUUUAAAGGGUGCGUAGGUGGCUAUUUAAGUCAGGGGUGAAAAGCAUGAGCUCAACUCAUGUCUUGCCUUUGAAACUGGACAGCUAGAGAAAAGACGAGGUAUGUGGAAUGUGUGGUGUAGCGGUGAAAUGCAUAGAUAUCACACAGAACUCCGAUUGCGCAGGCAGCGUACCAGACUUCUUCUGACACUGAAGCACGAAAGCGUGGGGAUCAAACAGGAUUAGAUACCCUGGUAGUCCACGCAGUAAACGAUGAAUACUAGUUUUUUGCGAUAUACAGUAAGAGACUAAGCGAAAGCGAUAAGUAUUCCACCUGGGGAGUACGCCGGCAACGGUGAAACUCAAAGG